rnacentral:ncRNA from 1 species
UCAAAAAAAUUUUAUUGGAAAAUUCGCAAAAAAUAACUACUUUCGAUAAAAAAUUUAACUCAAAUUUUUAAAUUUAAUGUCCAAGCAAAAACCCAUAGGAUUUUUUUAGUUGAAUCUUUAGACUAACAAAAAAAAAUAGUACGAUAUGAAGCGCUCAAAAAAAGUACAAUUAUUUAAACUAUCGAAAAUCAACAUUUUUGAAAAAUUUAUACAUAUUAUUAUAAAAUGAUUAUGUGUUUCAUUAUGUAUUUCUCCGUGUCCAGAUCCAUUCGUGAAAUACCAAUGUUUCGUUAACCUUGUAAUCCCCUUCAUCAAGGCGAGCAAUAGCCUAAUACUGAGUUGUUCCUCCGAGCCGUUCCUUUUAUAUUGCACUGCGUGAAUGGAUUAACGAGAUUCCCGCUGUCCCUAUCUACUAUCUAGCGAAAUCACUGCCAAGGGAACGGGCUUGGAAAAAUUAGCGGGGAAAGAAGACCCUGUUGAGCUUGACUCUAGUCUGGCACUGUAAAGAGACAUGAGAGGUGUAGCAUAAGUGGGAGAUGGUAACAUCGCCAGUGAAAUAUCAUUACUUUCAUCGUUUCCUUACUUACUCGGUUUGGCGGAGCGCGUGCCCCGAGGGCUUCGUGCCCCGGCGGUGUUCUAGAGCCAAGCGUAUCAGAAUGGCCUCGGCCAAUCGCCGAUGAUACUCCCGCGUGAUCCGAUUCGAGGACACUGCCAGGCGGGGAGUUUGACUGGGGCAGUACAUCUGUCAAAGAUAACGCAGGUGUCCUAAGGCCAGCUUAGCGAGGACAGAAACCUCUCAUAGAGCAAAAGGGCAAAAGCUGACUUGAUCUCGAUGUUCAGUACGCAUAGAGACUGCGAAAGCAGUGGGAGAGAAGAAGAGAAAUGAGGGGUGUGAGUGGAGGGGGGAGGGUGAAACAUGGGGAAAAUUGAUUGGUCUUCAAUAACCGAAAGAAUGGUUUCCAUAUUUUAUUUAUAUUAUUAUUGUAGCCAUUAUUUCUAUUUAAAUUGUUAGGGUGUUUUUUCUCUAUAGCUUCUCUAUACUUUCUUAGAAAGUAAUGUUGGUUAUUAUGAUCGUUUUGUCAAACAGUAUUUGAUGUCUCGUAUAGAUAUUGUGUUCUGAUGUCGACUGCGUGACGUAUUUUAGCCUGACAUCACGUUAAUGUUCUUUUGUCCGUAGGUUCUGCGGUUUUUCCAAUGUAUACUUGCCCGC